GAUGUAAUCUAAUCCGUCUGUGUAAUAUUAUCCUAGCUGGUUUCCCACUGGUGAAGAGGAGGAAGAGGAGGACCAACCCAACCUGUUGUCUGUGGAGUCUGGUCCUGACGUUAGGGUGAAGCUGUAGCAGUGCAGCUGUAGAAUACAGGGAGCUGAGUGUGUAAGGCUGUGUGUGUUGGCUUUCACACUGGGCAGGACUUCCACUUGUCAGACAUAUUCCAAUAUUACACUUUUAUGUUGGUAACUUCCCCCAAAUAACUACUGUUCAGACUGUAUUAAUGCAAUAACACAAUGAAUGUACACAUUUAAUUAUUGUCAACAAAGCUACAAUAAAAUAAAAAACAUUUAGGUAAUAAAAUCAUAGAAUGAAACUGUU